GUGUCGCAAAAUGUUAUGUAUUCUGUGUGUAAUGUCUAUUUGUCCUGUGUUAAAAAUAUUAUAUAUAUAUAUAGAGAGAGAGAACAUUAUUUGUAUCAUUAAACGUGAUACAGGACACUAUAAAAUUGCAUCGUAAUGGGAACACCUAGAAUCCCACAUUAGAACGUCACGGACAUGACUUGCAUGGGAUGGUGUGGUAGAUCAAAAUUGGAUUAAGAACCACAAAAAGGGAACAAAAUAGCAAUAAACGUGUUCCAUUUACGUAAGGGAAGUUGUGGUAGAGAAAAUAUGUAUUCCUGUUCUGUUAAUAUAAAUAUAGGCUAAAAAGUGUAUUAUUUUAUUAUUGGGUUUGGUGAUUGGUAUUGGUUAUUGUCGUGUUGAACGCGUUAUGUGUGUGUGUUAUUUUGAAUCGCAAAUUGAGAGUUGACAAUCGUGUUGGGUAAUUGUAAUUACAUCAUUGUAAAACGACGUGCACUAAACAAGUGUAAAUAUCUGUACUUAAUAAAUAUAUACAAAAAAUACAGUCCCACGUGUGAAGUGUCUUGAAUCGUGAGCCAGCAACCAGCGUGACUUAAAUCGCACUAAGUUACGCGACACAAGG